rnacentral:rRNA from 1 species
GCGGAGGAAAAGAAACCAACAGGGAUUGCCUUAGUAACGGCGAGUGAAGCGGCAACAGCUCAAAUUUGAAAUCUGGUCCCCUUUGGGGGCCCGAGUUGUAAUUUGAAGAGGAUGCUUUUGGCGAGGCGCCGUCCGAGUUCCCUGGAACGGGACGCCGCAGAGGGUGAGAGCCCCGUACGGUCGGACGCCGAGCCUCUGUAAAGCUCCUUCGACGAGUCGAGUAGUUUGGGAAUGCUGCUCAAAAUGGGAGGUAAACCCCUUCUAAAGCUAAAUACUGGCCAGAGACCGAUAGCGCACAAGUAGAGUGAUCGAAAGAUGAAAAGCACUUUGAAAAGAGAGUUAAAAAGCACGUGAAAUUGUUAAAAGGGAAGCGCUUGCGACCAGACUUGCGCCCGUCGGAUCAACCGUCGCUUGCGGCGGCGCACUCCGGCGGGCUCAGGCCAGCAUCAGUUCGUCCGGGGGGAGAAAGGCGGCGGGAAUGUGGCUCUUCGGAGUGUUAUAGCCCGCCGUGUAAUACCCUCGGGUGGACUGAGGACCGCGCGUAUGCAAGGAUGCUGGCG